AUUUUACAACAAAAUAAUUCGCCAGAGGACUACUAGCAAUAGCUUAAAACUCAAAGGACUUGGCGGUGCUUUAUAUCCCUCUAGAGGAGCCUGUUCUAUAAUCGAUAAACCCCGAUAAACCUCACCACCCUUUGCUAAUUCAGUCUAUAUACCGCCAUCUUCAGCAAACCCUCAAAAGGUAGAAUAGUAAGCACAAUCAUUUUACAUAAAAAAGUUAGGUCAAGGUGUAACUUAUGGGGUGGGAAGAAAUGGGCUACAUUUUCUACCCAAGAACACUCCACGAAUGUUUUUAUGAAAUUAAAAACUGAAGGAGGAUUUAGUAGUAAAUUAAGAAUAGAGAGCUUAAUUGAAUAGGGCCAUGAAGCACGCACACACCGCCCGUCACCCUC
rnacentral:rRNA from 1 species